GCGCAGCCUGAUCCAGCCAUGCCGCGUGAGUGAUGAAGGCCCUAGGGUUGUAAAGCUCUUUCACCGGUGAAGAUAAUGACGGUAACCGGAGAAGAAGCCCCGGCUAACUUCGUGCCAGCAGCCGCGGUAAUCGA
rnacentral:rRNA from 1 species